GUGUCCUUUGCUAUCCGAUCUCCACCCUUCCAAAAGAACCAAACAAACCCCUGUGUCCUUCUCACAUCUCUGUUCCAAAAAGUCAGCUGGGAGUUGGAGCCUUAGGGCACAUACAACCUGGCCCUGUGAGGGCUCCCUGGGGCACUAGGACAAAAGCCAAACUGGGCCCAAGGCAGGCUGGGGUGUUGAGCCUCAACCCGGGGCUUAGGCUGAGCCUGCCUCUCUCCCUCUGGGCCUCAAUCUCCCCUUCACUUGGCCUUGGUGAUCUGACAUCAGGUCUGACACUCUAUAGGGGUGUGUGUGACCCUCCUGUCCCACCCCCUUUUCCUGGCCUCUUGCCAGUAAUCAUGUAAUGAAGAUCUGCCGCUGUACCCACCCGCCCACCUACUCCCUUCCUGGUGGGACUCUGGUCUUUGCUGCCAGAACAGCUCAUCUGGCCCAGAGUGUAUCCCUUCUGUUGGCACAGGUGGGGUUCUUGUGUUAGCAACAGCCACCGAGACCACCAGCCACCUGGAAGAGGAGCAGACAGUGCCCCACAUCACCUUUCCCCAAAGUGUAGGCAGAAUCCUUGGAGAGGAGACUAGGAAACACUCUCUCUAAGCUUAGAAUCACCUGUCCAUCUGCCUCAUUUCACUGAUAGGCUUACUGAGGCACAGAGAGGAGGGACUAUCCCAAGGUCACAAAGCUUAAGUAGUAGCAGGACUAGUGUAGGAACCAGGGCUGUCUGCUUCGGGGCCCAUGGUCUUACUCCUGUGUUACUUUCACCAUCACCAUGCCGUGCUGUGUAAACUUAAGCAAGCCUUUGCUCUUCUGUGGGUCUGAAUUUUUUCCUCUAUGCACUGCUGUGGUGGGACAAGCCUAUCUGAGCACCUUUCCUCUCCUGGGAGGGAGGGUAUAAAGAGUGACUUGAUAGGAAUGUGUCCCAGACUGACAUUAGCCAGCAGGCCUGGCCUGGGCAUCGUGUUGGGCUGGGACUUUGCCACGGGAAACAGGCAGCAAGAGGACACAAGAGCAGGCAUGUCAACAGAACCUUCAUUGGCGGUAUCCUUCCCCUCCCUCCAGAACAGACAUUCUCUCCAGCCCUGGGGGAGGGGAGUGUGACAUGAAAACAGAUCAGAGCUGGUCAGAUGCCUACAUUCUUCUGGGUCCUACAGCAAGGGCAUUGACUUGCACUGUGUCCCAAGGCACCUCAUUCAACCAAAUGUCCCAUCAGAGCCUUGGGGAGGGAGGAAAUGAUUUAAAGAGCCACCUGGGGCCCACUGGGUGACACAUCUUCAUCCAGCAGCCCAGGGAAAAGUGCAGUGACUGGCCUGCUCCAGAUGUGCAGGAUAAUUUGCUGUGACCUCCACAGGGGAAGUGCAGCUCCCUUCUCUAGGCCUCAGCUUCCCCCUGUCAUCCAAGGAAUGGCUUAGACCUUUCAGGGCUCUGCCAGCCCAUGUAGUGCUGUUGGUUCCUGGUUAUCAGGGCCCAGUGGGAAGGUCGGGGGAGCCAUAGGAAGGGGACAAAAAGAUGCUGCACAGCGUGAUGGUCACCUGCCAGGGUAACUAUCCCAGGCCUGGCCAUCAGCUCAGGAGCAAGUUUCCAAGUUUCCCACCUGGUAUUGGCUGCCCCAGCUCUUCCCUCAAUGCCUGCCUGCCUUUUUCAUCAAAACUAGCACAAGGAACUUUUUAAUUCCAGCUUCACUGAGAGCUAACUUGGUGGGCAGACCUGCUUGUUAGGCAAAACAUUGGAACAGCAAUCUUACAGAGCUCAUGUAAACGAGAUUUUGAGAUCUGCUCGCUGCCCCUAGCCCCACUAGCUAUGGAUUAGACUGCUGCUGUUUCCCAUUUAUUUGGGGAGUAGCUGAGAGUUGGUUUGGUUUUUGAGCAACUUUAAUCUGUUUGCCAAGGGCAAAGCGGGAGAAAGAGCAUCAGUGCCCCAAGCAGUGGGGAUGAGAGUGAGGGAGUCUUGCUCACAUUUGCACAGACUGGCAGCGUCAGAGCUGGGAAUGGUGCCAGCCAGCCUUUUCCAUCUCCUCUGUCACCUGAAGAUUUGCAUUUCAAUUUUCCAAGGCCAGCCACCAGCACCCUCUCCCCCAGAACUGCACACAAGUCCUUCAACUCUGCCAGGAGGCUCCCAAAUCUAGAGUCACAGAAAACCUGGGCUCUUGACAUUCUGCUGGUGGCCAGUGACUCUGCUUCCAGCUGGCACCAGUGCAGGGAAGGGGCACUUUGCAGCACUCAGGUGGGAGUGUCAUUGAUGUCACCUCUUUUGAGGCAGGGCAGCCAAAAAGACCAACGUGUUCAUUCCUUGUUAUCCAGGAAUUGUAUUUCUAGAAGUUUGUUUCACAAAAGCAAUCAGAUAUGUGGACAAAGAUAAGGUAUUUAUUGAAGCAUUACUUCUAAGAGGGAAAUUUUGGAAGCUUUUAAAAUGUCCAUCAAUCAGGGUUUGAGUCAGUGCUGUUACAUGCAGGAGAGCUGUGCUGUAGAAUACAAAUGCAGCCAUGAGAAGAUAUGGAACUGAGGGAUUUUGAUAAGGACAGAUAGCUGUAUGUUUGGUAGAAAAUGAUAUAAAAAUGAUAUCAACCCAUAUAACCUCAAUUUUGUGGGUUUUGAAAAAGAGCGUGUAUAUUUUUGAGUAGAAAAAGGACUCAAUGCAUCAGAUGGUUUUAUCUGGAUGGAAAUAUUAUGGAUUUUUUAAAUUUUCUUUUUGCUUUCCUAUAUUUUUAAAAUUCUCUAGGAGUUUCUUUCUUUUCUUUUCCCUCUCCCCUCCCCUCCCCUCCCCUCUCCUCCGUUCCUCUCCCCUCUCCUCUCCUCUCCCUUCUCUCCUUUCUUCCAUUCCUUCUUUCCUUUCUUCUCACUCUGUCACUCAGGCUUGAGUGCAGUGGUGCAAUCUCGGUUUACUGCAGCCUCUGCCUCCUGGGCUCAAGCCAUCUUUCCACCUCAGCCUCCUGAGUAGCUGGGACCACAGGUGCGUGCCACCAUGCCCAGUUAAUUUCUGUAUUUUUGUAGAGAUAAGCGUUUCACCAUGUUGCCCGGGCUGGUCUCAAACUCCUGAGAUGAAGCAAUCCUCCCACCUUGGCCUCCCAAAGUGUUGGGAUAACAGGCAUGAGCCACCAUGCCUGGCCCUAUUAUUUUUCUAAUCAGAAUAAAAGUGAUGUUUUUAUGAGCAGAAUACCCUUACUCAUUGUCUCUCUCAGCCUCUUCCACCCCCAUCACAUUCCUUGUAACACAGGGUAGGUGUCACAGGCUUUGCCUCUCAUGGCUCAGGGUUUAGGGACACUGCAUCACCCACCCCUUCAAGCACCAGCCCCAGGGCAGGGGGUGGGCCCUGAGGAAGCCAAUCAUCGUUUAGAGCAUCCCAGUGUCCUUAGUACCACAGGUCAGGUCCUCAGCUGCUGCAGCCUUACAACUAACCUCUACCCCAGGCUGGCUGGCACAGGGCUGUCGCUUGUCCUGUCUUGUCCUUCCUGCCUUAGAACCUGAACUGAGCCCAGCUGACUGUGGGAAAGUUUCCAUUUGGGCCAGCUGCAGUGUCCCUUUUCCAGGCCAGGGGAGUAGGAGGUGGGCUGCCCGUCUCAUUCUGUGAGCUGUGGAGGAGCCCACAGAGCACAGGGCCAAGUAAACCCUACCUCCAAGGAGCUCACAGUUUGGAGAGACUGACAGUGGGGGCAGAGCUUGCAGCCAAGGCCCCGGUUGCCAAACUCAGGAACUUGGACUUUACUCACAUGAAGCCAGACACACUCUCCAGUCUAAGAGUGACAAGGGUUGGAUUUCAGUUUUAGAAUAAUCACUCUGGCUGUUGCGAAAAGGAUGGGCCCAGAGGGAGGGAAGGCAGGAGGCUGGCAGAGUGCAAAGAAGAGCUGCUGUGUGCAUGGCUGGAGACUGAGAGGAACAAGGGCAAACAUUGCCCACCCCUUCCCAGAGACCCACAGUGCAAAUGGUGACUGCCCAACACCAGCACUGUGGCCCUGGGGAUGAGAGUCUGAGAUCAGGUGUGGAGAUUCAUUGCAGCCCUCAGGCCCAUGGAGGCCCAGGGGAAAUGACACAUCCAAUCCCUCCCUACCCUCUGGGUAUGCCCUGGUAUCCCUCUCCCAGCCAGUUUCCUCUGACCCAAGGUCAUCCUUGCAGCUGGUGAAGACACACAACCUGCUAACCACCAGGAACUAUAUCUUUGGAUACCACCCCCAUGGUAUCAUGGGCCUGGGUGCCUUCUGCAACUUCAGCACAGAGGCCACAGAAGUGAGCAAGAAGUUCCCAGGCAUACGGCCUUACCUGGCUACACUGGCAGGCAACUUCCGAAUGCCUGUGUUGAGGGAGUACCUGAUGUCUGGAGGUAUCUGCCCUGUCAGCCGGGACACCAUAGACUAUUUGCUUUCAAAGAAUGGGAGUGGCAAUGCUAUCAUCAUCGUGGUGGGGGGUGCGGCUGAGUCUCUGAGCUCCAUGCCUGGGAAGAAUGCAGUCACCCUGCGGAACCGCAAGGGCUUUGUGAAACUGGCCCUGCGUCAUGGAGCUGACCUGGUUCCCAUCUACUCCUUUGGAGAGAAUGAAGUGUACAAGCAGGUGAUCUUCGAGGAGGGCUCCUGGGGCCGAUGGGUCCAGAAGAAGUUCCAGAAAUACAUUGGUUUUGCCCCAUGCAUCUUCCAUGGUCGAGGCCUCUUCUCCUCCGACACCUGGGGGCUGGUGCCCUACUCCAAGCCCAUCACCACUGUUGUGGGAGAGCCCAUCACCAUCCCCAAGCUGGAGCACCCAACCCAGCAAGACAUCGACCUGUACCACACCAUGUACAUGGAGGCCCUGGUGAAGCUCUUCGACAAGCACAAGACCAAGUUCGGCCUCCCGGAGACUGAGGUCCUGGAGGUGAACUGAGCCAGCCUUUGGGGCCAACUCCCUGGAGGAACCAGCUGCAAAUCACUUUUUUGCUCUGUAAAUUUGGAAGCGUCAUGGGUGUCUGUGGGUUAUUUAAAAGAAAUUAUAACAAUUUUGCUAAACCAUUACAAUGUUAGGUCUUUUUUAAGAAGGAAAAAGUCAGUAUUUCAAGUUCUUUCACUUCCAGCUUGCCCUGUUCUAGGUGGUGGCUAAAUCUGGGCCUAAUCUGGGUAGCUCAGCUAACCUCUCUUCUUCCCUUCCUUAAGUGACAAAGGAAACUCAGUCUUCUUGGGGAAGAAGGAUUGCCAUUAGUGACUUGGACCAGUUAGAUGAUUCACUUUUUGCCCCUAGGGAUGAGAGGCGAAAGCCACUUCUCAUACAAGCCCCUCUAUUGCCACUACCCCACGCUCGUCUAGUCCUGAAACUGCAGGACCAGUUUCUCUGCCAAGGGGAGGAGUUGGAGAGCACAGUUGCCCCGUUGUGUGAGGGCAGUAGUAGGCAUCUGGAAUGCUCCAGUUUGAUCUCCCUUCUGCCACCCCCACCUCACCCCUAGUCACUCAUAUCGGAGCCUGGACUGGCCUCCAGGAUGAGGAUGGGGGUGGCAAUGACACCCUGCAGGGGAAAGGACUGCCCCCCAUGCACCAUUGCAGGGAGGAUGCCGCCACCAUGAGCUAGGUGGAGUAACUGGUUUUUCUUGGGUGGCUGAUGACAUGGAUGCAGCACAGACUCAGCCUUGGCCUGGAGCACAUGCUUACUGGUGGCCUCAGUUUACUUUCCCCAGAUCCUAGAUUCUGGAUGUGAGGAAGAGGUCCCUCUUCAGAAGGGGCCUGGCCUUCUGAGCAGCAGAUUAGUUCCAAAGCAGGUGGCCCCCGAACCCAAGCCUCACUUUUCUGUGCCUUCCUGAGGGGGUUGGGCCGGGGAGGAAACCCAACCCUCUCCUGUGUGUUCUGUUAUCUCUUGAUGAGAUCAUUGCACCAUGUCAGACUUUUGUAUAUGCCUUGAAAAUAAAUGAAAGUGAG
rnacentral:sRNA from 1 species